rnacentral:ncRNA from 2 species
ACAUCCCAUGCGGGAGAGUCAUCGAGGCCGGUGCUGACCGGUCGAGGUGCGCCGAAGGGGCAAUUCCUCCCCGGAACCUCUCAGGCACCCGGACCGCACUGGGUUG